GAUGAACGCUGGCGGCGUGCCUAAUACAUGCAAGUCGAGCGAACAGACGAGGAGCUUGCUCCUCUGACGUUAGCGGCGGACGGGUGAGUAACACGUGGAUAACCUACCUAUAAGACUGGGAUAACUUCGGGAAACCGGAGCUAAUACCGGAUAAUAUAUUGAACCGCAUGGUUCAAUAGUGAAAGACGGUUUUGCUGUCACUUAUAGAUGGAUCCGCGCCGCAUUAGCUAGUUGGUAAGGUAACGGCUUACCAAGGCGACGAUGCGUAGCCGACCUGAGAGGGUGAUCGGCCACACUGGAGCUGAGACACGGUCCAGACUCCUACGGGAGGCAGCAGUAGGGAAUCUUCCGCAAUGGGCGAAAGCCUGAAGGAGCAACGCCGCGUGAGUGAUGAAGGUCUUCGGAUCGUAAAACUCUGUUAUUAGGGAAGAACAAAUGUGUAAGUAACUAUGCACGUCUGGACGGUACCUAAUCAGAAAGCCACGGCUAACUACGU
rnacentral:rRNA from 1 species